UCAGCAUGUAUUGUGAAUGCAUGUUUCCGUAACUGUUUCAGUUUCACUAUUGUUUAUUUAUUUAUUUUUUAUCAAUUUCAGUUAGGACUCAAUGCUGGCACAUUCUGAAGGAACUUGAUUAUUUUUGUUCACAAACGAUCUGUGCGCUUGAGGAUUAAUAGUUAAUUGCAAUUUCAAAUGCUUCGUUAUUGUUGGAAAUGGUCCCUUAAGUCUGGUAUUAAAAACAUCUGACCGUGCCAAAGGAGCUCUUACCCACACCUGGCAAGGUAAUUCAAAUAAUAAAUGGCGUUUUGACAGUCUUUG